UCUGGAAAGCAGUACCAUCAAGAUGCAAUGACUUUACCACCCAUAAAACUUCCUACUAACACUGAGUCCUCAGGCAAUCGCCUCCAUCCCUAGAAUUUCUUGUGCCAUGUCCCAGUCCUCCCAUUGUUUUUUCUGAUUUGUUUUUCACCUUCAUGGAUGCCUAAUGGGAUCAUGGAAAUGGGAGACCCAGAGGCGAGGCCAGCAUGGACUCUCUUGCUCGUGGCAGGGUCCAUGCAUUUUUAUGUCAGACUAGGGAGGCGAUACUAGACCUCCAUGGUGGACUGUUUUGGUUUGGUCUGAUUUUGACAUAUUAUCUGGCGUUGAUACAUUUACUGGAUUUUAGAGGGGACUUAAGAGUUUCCCCAGCCAUGUGCCUCCAACACUAGCCAGCUACCCGAAAUGACUGGACUUGGAAAUCCCUGGUGAAUUUCCAUCAGUCCAGAAGAACUUGGAAAAGCACAGACCCCACCUGGCACCCAAAGUGUAGAUUGCCGGGUGCUAGACAAGCUGCUGCCAUCGGGCAGCCACCACAGCUGGAGGCGCAGAGAAUCCAGCCUAUUGGAUGGGAGGCUGGAGAUGAGGACGGACUGUGUGCUGGAGACGGACCCGGGGCCUCCAAACACCCUAAGAAGGUGCCGAGAUACCUUCGUGCUGUUGCUCUUUUGAGACCAGGUUUUGCCAGGUCUGGAAUUUGCUUCUGCCUCCUUCCUGCUGGGGUCACAGAUGUGUGCCACCAUGUCAAGCCAUUCUCUAUCUCCCCCUCUUCUGCAGGAUUCCCUGAAACACGCCUAAAUAAUAAAAGAACUGCUGGAGGUAUUACCAACCUCAAAUUAUACUACAGAACUAUAGAGAUAAAAAGCAUGGUAUGUGCAUAAAGAAAGACAUCUGGUUUGUCUUCCUGUAACUCAGAGGAGGUGGUUGACAUCUCUCAGAGUGACCAUGGAUUUGCCUGCUCCUCUUCCAGAUCACUAGAGUGCCCUCCUGUAUUUCAAAGGCCUGUCAUUAGGAGUGUGCAUACACAACACACGUGUGUGGGUCAAAAGACAACUUGGGG
rnacentral:lncRNA from 1 species